rnacentral:rRNA from 1 species
UACAGAGGGUGCGAGCGUUAAUCGGAAUUACUGGGCGUAAAGCGUGCGUAGACGGCUAUCUAAGUCGGGUGUGAAAGCCCCGGGCUCAACCUGGGAAUUGCAUUCGAGACUGAAUAGCUAGGGUACGGUAGAGGAAGCGGAAUUUCCGGUGUAGCGGUGAAAUGCGUAGAUAUCGGAAGGAACAUCAGUGGCGAAAGCGGCUUCCUGGACCAGUACCGAACGUU